ACCAGCGGCCGUAGCCGUGCAUGUCUACCUGUUCCCGUUCGAUCACCGAAGUCAAGAUGCACUGGGCGGCGUUCCGUAAGAAGAUGGGUGAUCGCUCCACAUCCGUCUCUGGAAGCCGUGGUGCUGGUU
rfam:Habropoda laboriosa contig21575, whole genome shotgun sequence.